GGCAAGAACGUAACAGAGCGGACAAGCGUACGGAUGAUAAGGACUGUAGAGGAGAGGAAGACUCCGGUGGCUGAACUUCCUAGAGCGCCGAGUUCGGGAGGUGAGAAAAAGGACAAAAAACCAAAUGAACAUUUCGCGCUCUCUCUGUUCAAACGGAUUAAUUCAGUACCGGGUAAACACGGAAAAAGAGAAAAAUCAAAACCCUUACCGCUUACAUAUGGUAACUUUUAGAUGUAUCUCUUCACUGUUUUUUUUUUCUCUCUGUAACUAGUCCUGAAACUGCUACUGAAAAAUUCAAAUUUAGUUUAUUGGUGUUUUACCAUAUAUUGAUUUUCUUUUUGAGCUUUUGUGAGGAAACUGAGUAUCAAUUGUGAGUUUCGAAGUCGGGAAGGUGGAAAGAGCAUAGAGCGAAAGUAAAUCGACGGAUUCUAUGCCCCCACGGACAAUGCGGAUAAGAAGAGAAGCGCGCGACAAAGGAGAAAGCAGCGGCAUACGGGAUGAAAGGGGUAGGGGCGAAGGGAUUAGUCCGAGGGUUGGGGUUGCUUGGGGAGAUGAGUCGGAUUGUUUAAGUGGAGCUCCAGAUUUCCAUGACGAUGUCGGGGAGGGGGAGGUUGACAUCAUGGAGAAUCUUGAAGCGGUUGAAGAAGUAGUUGGAUGAGAAGGUGCGUUUUGAGGAGUACGAAGAAGAAGAACAAGAAGGGAGCAAGGAAGGUGAUGGUGAAAAGAGACAGAGAAAGGAGAAGAGGAGAGAGACGCGCUUUCAUUUCCCCACAGUCGGAGCCUUCUAUAUUCACGAUGAUUGGUUUGGUCCCAUCGUUGGCGUCCUGGUCCUGCGGGCAGGGAAGCAAGAGUCAUAAAGAUUAUCAUCAAUGUUGCAGAAGGAAUCAAGGCAGAGCUCAUGGUCAUCUGAAAGCAGAGCAAUGCUAGGAUAUUUGUGACCCUCAAAAUCCUUCAUUGAAUGUUGUAAAAGGAAGAGGGCCUGUAAAGUACGUAACCCAAUCAAGAAGCAGCAGGUUGAUCCAUCAAGAGAAAACCAGUAAGGAAGCCUCUAAGAACUUCAACUGCUGAUUCAGCAAAAUCAUCGUCACCUAAAAGCAAGCAAUGCAGGGAGCCCCUAGAGAUUUCUUCAAAUAUUUACUUAUUGAGCCGAAGUACCUCGCAAACCUCAAAUCAAAUAUUAAACCCCUGGAGAUUUGAUCCUACAUUGAUUCAGUGCAAAUAUAUUCAGAUAGGGAAAACGUGGUUUCAGAUUCGUGUGCAUCUAGAAAGUGUUUUUCAGCAUCAAACUCUUUUUCUGGAUUCAACAUGCUCUAUCAUGCUCAGGAAAUGACACCAGAUAGAAAUGUAUGACCCACAAGAACAGAUGGACAUUUCCAACUUCUUUAACACUGAAUGAUAAUUGUACACUUAAAUUGAAUCCAUUUAUACAAGGAAUGACCAAUGCUGGUCCUGUUGGACAGGAGAUGCUUUACAUUUUAAAUAAUCCACUUACUGGAACCAUUUCAGCAAACUGCCUUUUCAGUGCUCAAUGUCCUGACCAGCAUACAUUGCUCAAUUUCCCCAGUUAAUAGAUCAAACAAUGGGUUUAUCUUUUCCUAGACGGCUUACUCAUCAGCAGUUCCCAUCGGCUAACCUAAUCAGUCAAAUUUCUCCACUGCCAGAGAACCUUGCUGUUCAACUAAUGUCUCUAGAGAAUUCUAUUUAUCCUUCACUGCAAGAUCUUACUCAGCUCUUUAGUCUAUGCUCUGCAAGUGGAUCUCAAGCUUCACUAAGUUCACUUGGACCUGGAUCGUUGGAAUUUCCAUGUGUAUCAAGUGAAUCAAAAGUAGUGUUGGUUGGUGGAAGCAACAUUCUUGAUGAAAGUACUAAAGGUUUCUUUCUGGCUCCUGGGACUAAUGAUGAUCAGAAAUUAACUUUGAUUCCUGUGCCUUUGCAUUGUGUGCUCCCUCUUUUUUCUUAUGUCUUUUGCCAAUUUAGAGUAGAUGCAAUAGAAAUAAUUUAUAUCGUGCAUAGAGCUUCUACUCUUGAGUCUUAAUUGUAACUUCCACAACGGCAAUUACUUUUUUAUAUUGUUGCUGUUUGUGUAUUCGUGUUGUCCAGGUUCUCCAUUUGGACUUUCGAACAUGGUUACCGGAACAUGAAUGCAAGGGGACAUAGAGCAUGCUAUAGAGUGGAUAACCGGAAGGUUGUUGAAACUUUCGAUAUUAGUAUAGUUGCUAUUGAUCUUUGUUUAAACAUUUCUCAAUCUCAACCUGGUUUUGUCACUUCCAGAAUGGCAUCGUAUGCUGACAACCUCUCUAUUUCUUUCAGGUCUCUGACUUAAUCUUGUUUUUCUCAGAUUCAAUGUCUAGCCAGCAUUAUGGAUGGAUCUCUGAGUUACAAAGGCCCAUAUAAUUUUCAAUUUAUAAUGUCUUUGACAAGGCAUUCUGUUCUUGUUCCUGUUCCAUCGUUAUUUUACUGGUGUAGGAGGAUAAGUAUCAGUUUUACUUGUUAAUUUGAAUUCAUAGCUUUCAUCCAAAACCUGCAUUGGCGGAAGAAGUGGAAAAAACAUAUUCGAUUUAGUUAGGAUGUGAAUUUAGGUUGCUAAAACUUCAAGGUGUAUAGAGCUGACACAAAUUAGUUUUAAUACUAAGCCAUUGAGUUGAUCUGUUGAGAUCAUUUUGACUUUGUGG